CCCGCAAUGGGGCCAGACUUGUUUAUCCAGCAAGAAGUGACUUCACUGGGAAGAGGCUCACAGGAUUCCCCGUAAGGCUGCCCCAUUGAAAACCACCCUUGGAGACCUGGGUUGGCCACAGAGCUGUUGACAUGGAUGUGCCAAGCCCAGAGACUCACUGUACACGGUGUCAGCAAUCAUUGAAGCGUGGCAUUACUUUGCGGGUUGCCAGAGGACCCCUGCCUUGAAUGCAGUCUCGGGAGCGACU